UUUUCACACUAGUUGAAGAGACUUCCAAUCAGGUUUUUGUAGUUUUCACUCCGGUUUGGAGGGCUUUGUUCUCUGGUUCUCCUUUUCUUCGUUUUCUACUUAUUUAUAUGUUUUUUAGCAUUCAAUAUGAGGGGUCUGUCCUUAUUCUCUAGAAUCUGUCCUCGACAUUACAGCCUUUCCGUUGCUAAUCCAGGAUCUUUUUGAUUGCCGCCACUCUACUCUUUUUUGGUGUAGUUGGAAAGAUCGUUAUUGCAUGUCAUUUGCAUCUACUUACAAAAGAAGGAAAAAUUAUUGAAAUUUGAUGUGAACACUUUGAAAUUUUUGUUUCCUGAUGGUCUUGUUUCUUCCUUCUAGUUGGGAUUAUAUUUAUAAUUUUCUCGUUCUCUGCAAUUCACUUUCGUGUUUGGAGUCCUAACUCUUCCGUGUGAUUUUUCUUGUAAUUUUGUUGCUUACUAGACCUUCUCUCGUUAGUGAGUCUUGUCUUUCCUUCUAUGUAGAGGACAGAUUCCAGAGUAGGUUAUGUUUUUUACUUGAUUGGUGUUACAUGGACCAUUUAACACUUUGGAUCAGCUUUCAAAGAAGUUACCUUGUUAGUUAGUUAAUUUUGUUGCCUUCUCUAUCAGAAGGCAGAGGAAGACUUGGAUCAUAUUUUAUUUAAAGAGAUUUGAGAUUGUGAUAUCUGUUUGGAGUUGUUUUUUUUAGACUUCGGUUUUAGACUUGUCCGUGAUUGUGAUAUCUGUUUGGAAUUGCAUUUUUUAGACUUUGGUUUUUGGCUUGUCCGUCACAAGGAUACUAGUGAUACAAUUGGGAAUUUCUCCCUUUACCUUUUCCUUAAAAGGGCCCCUUUUUAUGACUCGUCAUGGUCUGUUCUAUUUUGUGGGAUAUUUGGGGAGAGAGGAAUAGGAAAAUGUUUGGACGUUCGAAGAGGGAUCCUUCGGAUGUUCGCUCCUUCAUUAGAUUUCAUGUUUCUCUAGACUUCAACCUUGAAGAGCUUUUGUACUCUAUGGGUGCUAUUUUGCACAAUUAGAGCCUCCUAAGAAGUAUAAAUAUUUAAGUUUGGCUAACGUGUCCAUGUUAGACAUUUAUUGCACUUAUUAGUUAUAGACUUAUGGGUGUGUAGACACUAAUUGUACAAAGUCAACAUAGGUCCAACACUUGUUAGACUCCUAACAAACUUAUUAUUAUUAUUAUUUAUUUUUAUUUUUGUGUAAAUGUAUCAUUUAUUGACUUAAAUUUUCUUCCACAAAAUGAUAUAUAAUUUACAAAAUCUAUAUUUUAAUAGACGUGUCAAUGUCUUAGAUCUUUUAAGAAAACGACUUGUCACUGUGUUUGUGUUCUAUCAUAUUUGUGCCUCGUAGUGGUAUUUGUAUUUCGGGUUGGAACCCUUUCUUUUGGUAGGGUUUGCUCUUGAGGACGGGUCUUUUUUGUGCCCUUGUAACUUAAUUUUUCUAAAUGAAAAGUAGUUGUAAAUUUUAUUUUUCUUUUAUUAUUUUUUUUUUAAAAAAACUGUUCUAUUAAUCGUGAAGUGUAUAUUAUCCAUCUCUUCUUUCUUUUUUCUUUAUUCCUCUAUCCGACCUUCAUUUGGAAGUAGCUAGUUUGGUGCAUGAUGUCUGGCAUCUGGGAAUUUUGACUGGACUUUUGUGCAACCAUAGGUCGCAGCACCACCCGAUCUAAUGCUUGCAUCUGUGGACUUCUUUUUGGGUGCAGACAAAAAAAGAAAUGAUCUUCCUCCUCGUUUGAAUCAAAGAUUUCCAUUCUCUUUACUCUUUGGAGGCGAUGGAAGUUACAUGGCUUCUUUUUCACUUCAUAACGACAACAUUCUUACUAGUCUCAUGAGUCAGCAACAUUCUUACUAGUCUCAUGAGUCAGGUUUGCUAAUCAGAGACGACGAACUCAAAUUUAGUACUUCAUUGUGUAAACAAUCAUGUUAAAUAGAUUUUUGUCUUCUGGAAUUCUGUUGCUGGCCUGAAUGCACAGUUACGGUUGGUUCGUCUUGGUCAGCUUAGAUCGAAAUUCCUAGAGAGAAUCAUUUGGGUUGUCUUUUAUCUUCUACCCUUGUUUUCCAGUGUGAAGAACAUUCCUAGAGAGAAUCAGUCUGUCCAUUUGAGGGAAGAAACACAUGUAAGACAAGACCAUAUUUCUGGUGAAGGCCGUGCAAGGCGAAAGAAGUCAUAUGGGGGCAUUUUAGAUGUCAGCAGUCUACAAAUGCUCAAGGAGAAGAGAAAUAUAUCUUGCCUUCUAUCUUAUGUGCUUCACAACACAAAACCUGUUGGUCACCAGACGUUUUUCUAGUUUUGUUUAUUUUGCCUCUCGGCGUUCUCCUUCCGUUCCUGCUGGAAUCAAUGCCUUAUUCAGCCGAGGACCUAGGCGUUCUGCAGGCCUCGCUCGUAUCUAUGCAUUGUGGAACAUCACAUCCUUGGUCAAUGUUUUGGUUGCACUUCUCUGUGGAUAUGUUCACUCUAAAUCUCAAUCGUCGAAACAUCCAAGCUAAUCAGCCAUGGACUAUUAACAUGGAUGAAAGCGGAUGGUGGAUUUUCCCAGCGGGAUUGGUUGCUUGUAAAUUUCUCCAAUCCCGACUCAUUAAUUGGCAUGUUGCGAAUCUCGAGAUCCAAGAUCGAUCCUUGUCCAGUAAUGAGUUCGAUAUGUUCUGGCAGUCCUGAUGAUUAUUAUUCGCCCAUCUUGACAAAGACUCUAUUUUCUCUUACCUUGUCUGUUUUUCUGGGGGAGGGAAAGUUGUUCUUUACCACAGCAGGCAGGCGUUCUUUCUACCAUUUCUCCACAAAUACAGCUUCAUCAUCAUCACCCCACACUCAAAAUUGACUCUUAGGGCAGAAGUACAUAACAAUCAAAUAUCAAAAUCUUAAUUCAAAAUCCAAACAAAAUAGAUAAAGAAAAAGAAGAGGCAUUCACAAUUGUAAUCAAAUCCAUUUCUUUUUGUUUCCCCUAAAGACAGCAUCUUCUUUUCCUUUUCCUUACGUCUUGUCUACAGUGUUGUAUAUAAUUUGGGAUUUAUUCUUGCCCUUUGAAUUCCAUUUCUGUACCUCUUUUUCACAAUCCUGGGCUUCACCAUUUCUAAUCAACUGACUACAAUAUUCAAGAUUUAAA